UCGAAUUGGGCCCGUUGGCCCAUCAUUCCAAUUUUGGCCCAUUAAGUCCAAAAAUAUCGAGGGCACAGAAAUCAUGCACUUUGCAGUCCAAAUUUUGCAGCUUACCAAAAACAUUAAUCGAUUUACCUCACGAGCAUUCGCACACUCGCAAAUCUACAAAAUACCGAUUUUUGGCAUUUCAGCUUUUCGACUUUUUCCGAUCCAGACUAAGAAAGAGGGUGUUAGUUACACACCUGUUUGCGACGAUAUGCUGACGAGAUCCACACACGAACUGCCUACAAUUGGACUACUAACACAUUAAUCUAACUAUUCAAAUACGAACUACAUAUUAACCCCUUACAAUAUUCGGCCAACCACACCUACAGAUCAUAGUAAGCUUAUAAGAAAUCAAUAAGCAACUCAUUAACAAAUUUUUGUCAAUGUUUACCACAUAAUCAUAAUCUCACUGCAAGUUGUCUUCCUGAACAACAGUCACUAAAUCAUUUAUAACUGGAGGUACGAAACUCCAAAUCAAGUACCGUUAAUUUUCCCUGAAAAUAGACUCAUAUAUCUUAUAUCCAUAAAAUUUUUAGAAUUUUUGGUUUAGCUAAUCAAUACCAGAUUUUUCUUAAAGUUUCUCAUGUUUCACUGUUUGACUAAUCUGACCACUCUUCAUUACGAAUCAAAUUUAUCAUUGUACAGAAUUAAAAAUAUGUUCUCGUUUAUUUCAUUUGAAACUAGACUCAACAAGCUUUAAUUACAUAAUUUAUUCAGCUUCUAACUCAUCUCCUACAAUUUAUGGUGAUUUUCCAAAUUCACGUUACUGCUGCUGUCCCAAGCAGAUUUAUUACCAAAUCACUUUUUCACACAUAACUUGCAUGCAUGUUUUUUUUUACAUGUAUAUCACCAAUCAAUCAUCACAUAUCUAUGAUUUUACUUAAGUAUAAUCUCCAUUUCAUCAUUUUAAAGUACAACAUAUUAGCCGAUUUUUCCCCUUAGCAUCUAAGCACAUGCAUGCUCAUUUGUUUGGCUCAACUUCACAUAUCUUCCAUUUUUCAUCAAAAGAACAUGAAACAACAACCAUUUCCUUCAUUUUAAUUCAUGACCAAAUGCUCACAACACAACCAAAACCCAAAAUAUGCUUCAAGAGUUAAGGUAGAAUCAAGAAGAACUCAUGAACAUCAAGAUAGAAGCAAACUACCAUGAACUUACCUUCAAUUUUGUUCCCCAAGUGACCGAACAUUCAAG
rnacentral:lncRNA from 1 species